UUGUUGGAAAUCUCCUAGAAAACAAAUGAACUGUGAUUAUAAUUUGGUCUCCAUGAUUUUUCUUCUCACCAGCUGUGAUGGAUGAUGCCACCAAAUUCAUUAAUUAGAAUAAGUGAGUACAUGAAGGACAUUCCACUCGAUCCUGCAUGCAUUACUUUACCAAUCGUGGGAAAACAAAGCAAAAGAUACCAUCAAAAUGACAAUUAGAAACUUAAAAGAAUUACUCAAACGAACAUCAACCUUGAAAUUUAAAAAACCAAGCAGUCAGACACAGUACACCAAACCAGACACUCAUCGCCAU
rnacentral:lncRNA from 1 species